rnacentral:rRNA from 1 species
AUAGCUCACUGGUCGAGUGACUCUGCGCGGAAAAUGUAACGGGGCUAAGCAUGCAACCGAAGCUUAGGAUUGUCUAAAGACAGUGGUAGGGGAGCGUUCUGUAAGUCUGCGAAGGCGGUUCGAGAGGACUGCUGGAGAUAUCAGAAGUGCGAAUGCUGACAUGAGUAACGUUAAAGCAGGUGAAAAGCCUGCUCGCCGUAAGCCCAAGGAUUCCUGCUCUACGUUCAUCGGAGCAGGGUGAGUCGGCCCCUAAGGCCAGGCUGAGAAGCGUAGUCGAUGGGAAGCAGAUUAAUAUUUCUGCACCAUGUACAAGUGCGAUGAGGGGACGGAGCGUGAAUGAUCGGCCGGGUGUUGGAUGUCCUGGUUUGUGCGUGUAGAAGGCCGAUUGGCAAAUCCGUCGGCAGAUCUUCGAGACAAAGCAUCGAGGUUCUACGGAACCGAAGCGAUCGGAAGUGCUUCCAGGAAAAGCCUCUAAGCUUCAGCUUGUACGUGACCGUACCGUAAACCGACACUGGUGGGCGAGCUGAAUAUGCUCAGGCGCUUGAGAGAACUCGGGAGAAGGAACUCGGCAAAUUGACCCCGUAACUUCGGAAGAAGGUGUGCCGUAGUACCGUGAGAGGAGAGACACCUUGAGCGGGAAACGGUCUCAGAGAAUAGGUGGCUGCGACUGUUUAUUAAAAACACAGCACUCUGCAAAGUCGAAAGACGACGUAUAGGGUGUGAUGCCUGCCCGGUGCUGGAAGAUUAAUUGAUGGGGUGAGAGCCCUUGAUCGAAGUCCCAGUAAACGGCGGCCGUAACUAUAACGGUCCUAAGGUAGCGAAAUUCCUUGUCGGGUAAGUUCCGACCUGCACGAAUGGCAUAACGAUGGCCACACUGUCUCCUCCCGAGACUCAGUGAAGUUGAAAUGUUUGUGAUGAUGCAAUCUCCCCGCGGCUAGACGGAAAGACCCCAUGAACCUUUACUGUAGCUUUGCAUUGGACUUUGAACCGAUUUGUGUAGGAUAGGUGGGAGGCAGAGAAGAGGCCACGCCAGUGGUCUUGGAGCCGACCUUGAAAUACCACCCUGAUUUGUUUGCGGUUCUAACCACGGACAGUGAUCCUGUCUUGGGACCGUGCAUGGUAGGCAGUUUGACUGGGGCGGUCUCCUCCUAAAGGGUAACGGAGGAGUACGAAGGUACGCUAGGUACGGUCGGAAAUCGUGCUGAUAGUGCAAUGGCAAAAGCGUGCUUGACUGCGAGAGCAACAACUCGAGCAGAUGCGAAAGCAGGUCAUAGUGAUCCGGUGGCUCUGAAUGGAAGGGCCAUCGCUCAACGGAUAAAAGGUACUCCGGGGAUAACAGGCUGAUACCGCCC